AUGUUGGGGGAGGCGUUCUCUGUGCUGUCGGCUGAUUUGUUGUCCAGGGCCCCUUGCGUUACAGGAGUGGAGGGUCUCGGCUCCUCUUUGGCCUUCGCGGGUGGAGCAGCUUCUGCCACGGGAGGAGCAGCUGGAGUCUCCUUCUUGGACUCUGGUGCCUUGUGUUUGAACAUUUUUCCAAAAGUGGAUUUCUUCUCAGUUUUCUUCUCCUCUGUUUUUGGCGCUGGAGGUUCUUCAGGUUUGGCUGUGGCCUCAAGAGUGCUGGUCUUAGACGCGUCGACCUGAUGUGUCAGAGGAAGAUCAGAGAAGACUGUUUUAUAUACAGCAAAUGAAAAGAACAGUGAGAGGAUUCAAGAAGAUGGUCAAAUGAUUGUGUGAAAGCUUAUGACUGAAUCAUCAAUAGAGUGACUAAAACAGAUAAGCUUAAUAACUGACUACUGACAACUACAAAAACUCUUUUUUUUCUUUUGGCACAUUCCAACAUUAGUGUACAAAAUAGUACAAAACUAAAAGAAAAGGCAAAAAAUUAAAUACAAUUUUGUUAACUGGGUUGCAUAUAUAUAUAUACACACACACACACACACACACACACACACACACACACACACACACACACACACACACACACACACACACAUAUAUAUAUAUAUAUAUAUAUAUAUAUAUAUGCCCUAAGACUGGCAAGAGUGGCUUCCAAAUCGACUAUACUCCUAUUUUUGGAUCUGCUUUUGACAUGGUUAACCACCAGAUCUUCCUGUCAACUCUAUUGGCAAAGGGCAUCUCGGGAACUGCACUCCAGUAGUUUGAGACUAAUCUCUCAGAUAGGUCCUUCAAGGUAUCUUGGAGAGGUGAGGUGUCCAAGUCGCAACAUCUAACAUCUGGGGUGCCUCAGGGCUCAGUUCUUGGACCACUUCUCUUCUCUGUCUACAUGGCAUCAUAAGGCACAUUCAGAAACAUGGCUUUUCAUAUCACUGCUAUGCAGAUGACACUCAACUCCUCCUCUCAUUCCAUCCUGAUAUCUUUCAUCCGAAGAUAGCUGCUCGCAUCUCCGCUUGUCUAACAGACAUUUCUUGCUGGAUAAAGGACCAUCACCUUCAACUCAGCCUUGUGGUUCCAUCAAACCCAUUGUUUCAUCAGUUUCCCCAUCCAGUUAGACACAUCAACCAUAACUUCUUCAAAAACAGCAAGAAACCUUGGAGUUGUGAUUUAUAAUCAGCUGACUUUCUCAGACCACAUUGCUAAAACUGUCCGGUCCUACAGAUUUGCUUCAUCAAGAAAAUUCUAUUAUUUUUGUAUUCUAUCUAUUUUUCUUUUUAUUUAUUAUACAAUUAACAUAAAGCAAAAAAGGCCUCUAACAGCUUGCUCUGUUCUUUUUCUAUUCUGUCCGUUUUCUUUUGAUUAAUUAUAUAUUAAAAAAAACACUAGCAACCCAGUUAACAAACUUUAAAUAAAUAAAUUUAAAUAAAUUGUUAAAUUGCAUGAAAACCAAUAGGGCAAUUUUUUUUUUUUUUAUAAAAAAUUAUAAUGAUAAUAUUUUUUAAAUAUAUAUAUACACAUAUUUUUAUGGCCAAAAUACAAUAUAUUUCAUUUCAAGCUUUUACCAACCUUUUAACCUUAUACCAAAAUAUAUUUCUUAAUGUUUUACAGGGGCAAGAAAAUAAAUUUCCAGUCUUACAGUAGCCUACAUUUAAUCUAAAUGCAAAUACAGAUGGCCUAUUAGUGAUAAAAAAGAAGACUUAAAGUGAUUUAAUAAUGUUUAAUAUUUUUAUAGAUUGCAAAAUUUGCAUUUUUGGUAGCACUUUAAAUUAUGUCCCUCACUGAUUUUUAUUUAAACAAGUAAUAUGUUUCCAAACAUUAUAGACAACAAAUCAAGUGUUUCUUUAAACGAUAUAUAGAUGGUAAAAUAUAUUUUUAAAUGCUUUCUAAAUAUAUAUUUAUACAAGUAAAAUAUAAAAAAAAAUUGUAGAAAAUAUAUUUACAGAAAUAUACUUGAUAAUCGUUUUUUUUUAUUUAUUUACUUUUAUUUUUUGCUGUAAGGGAAACUAAAUAGAUUAAUUUAUUCAUUUAUUUUUUAUUUUUUAUUUAUUUGUUUGGUUGUUUUUUAUUAAUUAAUUAAUUUAUUUAUUAUUAUUAUUAUUAUUAUUUUAAUCAAAGAUAGGUAACAGGGUUGAAGAUAAGUCUAUUUUUUUAUAUUUUGGGACCAAAUGUUGGUUUAUAGUUACUAAUAUUAUUAUAUGUCCCAUGAACCUAUUUUGGUAACAGGCUUGAAUGGCUGAUUUUGAUGAAUACAACCAAAACUAUAAUUUGUGUAAACAUUGAUUGAAAAUAUUUGUUUCGGUCAAUGUUUGGUCACUUUUAUAUAAUUUAAAAUAUAAAAUAUGUAAGAAAAAAAGAAGAAGAAAAAAAGCACAACUUUAGAUAAAAUCUUCACAUGCUAGUAAUGCAACACUGUAUACCCAUAGAAAGUGCCAAGUACAAAAGUGUAAAUAUGAGAUGAAUGAUUUUAUUUAGGAAGACAGUCCCACCACCGUGCAAAGAAACAAUCGAUCAGCUAAAUGUAUUUACCUGCACCUCAACCGGCUUUUUCUCUUCCACCACAACAGGCUGCAGGCAAGCACAUAUUGGUAUUAAUUUUUACAAUAAUCUACAAUUCCUAUACACCAGCCGUUUAUCCUAGCAGGGACAAACACUGAGUCACUGGUUACACCAAGUCUUACAAGAGCCGCUGGAUAAAUCUGAUGUCAGUUAUGAAGUGGUGGAGUGGAGAGUCACAUGGUUUAGUUUCGGAUGUUGUGACAUGAGGUAAUGGCUGCUGUCAACAUGAUGUCACCAUAAUGGACCUUCACUGAUUCAUUCAUUAUUUACAAUGAGUUUUUUCCACUAAUUGAAUAGCAUAAUGUAUCUUGCCUGUGUGGGAAAACAUUGCAAACACAUCUUCUACCUUUGGAUAUUAUGCAUUAUAACCAGAGCCUAAAAUGAACACUCGCCACAUGCCAAAUGUGAGUAAAAAUCAGCAUUGAAAUAUAUGAAACUGUGUUACACACCGGUUGGCUGGUAACUUUUUUUUAUUAAUUCUUACAAUGUCAGAGAAUGCUACAUGGUUUAAGGUGAUAACUAAAUUGCAAAGACUGUGCUGAACAUAUAGACCCCUUAAUCGGCUCCGUCACUGUGACAUCACCGCUCUAGCUGGAGGCAAAACAUAAGACAGAACUCAUUGCAGGUGCGCUAAAAGUUUGAGGUUUUGACUUUAAAAUGUCUUCUUGUUGGGUUUUUGGCCACCAGAAUAGAAGGAACAGCACUUUUGUUUCAAAAUUAGAGUUUUACCAGAUCCUGGCAGACAUUACUUCACAGAAAUCAAGAACACAAUUGUGGUUAAAUGCAAUACGGCGUACAGACUGGACAGAGAUGAUCAUAAAUAAUGCUCGUGUUUGCAGUGCACACUUCAUAUCAGGUAAUAUAAUCUAUGCAUAUGAACUGGUGUGUUGGUUUUAUCUAGUAAAUCAGCAAGUUUCUGUUUUAUAGGUGAAAAGUCGCCAACCUUCAGCGCACUAGCUAAUUUAAAUGUUAAACAAACAUACAGCGAUAUAUGUGUGUGCCAUCCUUUGAAUGGUCUCUUAAUUAAAAUAAUACACAUUGCUAAUCAUAGUUAGCCCAGCAAUAGGUUACAUUAGAAAAUAAGCCUUGACAAAGUUCCCCAUACCACCCAAGAGUAAUUCAUAUGGCCGUAUGGCAUACGGGUCAGGUAGCCUGCUUCCAUCCGUGAGAGUUAAUAAAAAUAAAAAAUGCUGUCACGGUCCCGCAGAGUCAGGGACUGUACAUAUUCGGACAGUUCCGAACCUUCUUCUGCAUCCAUGUUUAAUAAAUCCCUCCUAAAAUGUGCCAGCUUUACGCUUGUCAACAUUGCGUCCGUGCCUCUUUUUGCCUCCAGCUAAGCCCCGCCCACCCGGAGACGCUGGAAUGUUUACAAACUUUUAAGGGGUUUAUAUAUAAUCUCUAUAAUCUGAUAAAUAAGAACUUCUUUCACAGUUUUCAGUAAAUGCUGCUCCACCUGAACUGUGAGCUGGAGUUGCAUAAUUAAUGCAACAUGCGCCAAUCAUCACUUAUACCAUUAUUAUGUAGUGGUUUUAGAAACUUUUCAAUUCAACCGCAUUACAGUAAUAUUUUUUUUAUUGAUUUAUUUACUUUUUUAAAUUUGAUUAACUACUAUUACUACUACUACUACUACUACUAAUUAUUAUUUUUUAUUACUAUUAUUAUGAAAUUAAUUAUACAAAUUAAAUAAAUGUUGAAAUAAAUAAACACUAUUAUUAUGAAAUACUCAAUAAAAUUAUAGUGAUAUUUAUUGAUUGAUUUGUUAACUUUUUAUAAAUGGAUUAAAUAUAAUAAUAAUUAUAAUAAUUAUCAUAUACAAUCAGAUUACCAUUAAAUAUUUCAC
ensembl:lncRNA